rnacentral:lncRNA from 12 species
ACUGAGCCACCCAGGUACCCCUUGACUUUUUUUUUUUUUUAAAGCAAUGUUAUAAUUUAUUUCCUGUUGUUUUUUUUUUUUUUUUUAGAAAAAUGUCCCAGUUGUCCCACAUUUGGCCAGUUGGAUCUUUGAAGCUAUUCCCUAAGGCUUUUUGUUAGGUUCCCAUUCAUCACUGAGUGCUUUCUUGCUUUCUGACACUUUGAGAACAUUUAGCUUCAUCAGUGAUUUUCCUUGCCUCAGCCAUUUCUCCAAGGAACUCUGGUUCCUUUAUGUGGAGAAUGGUAUUUAGAAACCAAGAUCUUGGCACUAGAUGAACACAAUGAUGUUAGGGUGGGCAUGAGCAAUUUUCACUUCUAUUAUAUACAGUUCAGUUCCAUUCUUCUUACUCUUGUUCCCACUUGUUUAAUUUUGGAUUUCAUAUAAUAAUAGCAUUUUCUUCUCUUGUAUUUUCUUCAGCUAAGUAUUUAACUUCAAAUGCUGCUACUGAAAAUUCUCCAUGAUUCCUAAGGAUUGGCAGAGAAUGAGAUUCUUUCUUUCUUUAUCUGACAGUGUGAAAGCCCUAAAAUGUUAAACUCCACUCAAGUCUCAGUCACCUCUGUUUGUCUUUCAUCUGAUUUUUUACAGAUGUUUUUAAGUUCCCAAAAUAAAUCGGGAUAUUCAGUGAACCACAAUAUCUGAAAGAUAAAGCAAGUGCUUACCUGUUUGCUUUGCCAUCUGCUCUGUUUUGGAUUGGCCCAGCAGCGCUCAGAAGGCGGACAGAGAGCAGCGGAGGCCGCCGUCCUGAGGCUGACUGGGGGCAAAGACGGUGGAACCAUCCCUACACCACAGCAGGAGGUUCGGAGGGACCAGCCGCAGCUGACCACGCAGCAAGAAGGUCGUCAAGUUCUACCGACCAUAAUGGCCCAGGUUGGGGGGGAAUAAAAUGAAGAGUGAGGAGGGUUUCCAGGGACAGUGAGUGGAGACCCGGGUCAGAAGAAACCGCCCAGUCCUUCAUCUUCUCUGCGCCUUCUUUACACCUCGUGACAGCGUUUACCUCCGAUCGCUUCUGGUCCUCAAAUGUGUGGGUUUCUUCCCCCAUCAAGCAGUUCUAUAACCCUGGCUGAGGUGUGUCACAAUCUAACUUCAUUCUGACACUAUCUGCAGGAGGUGACAUUAGAUCCCGCAGGCUCCGGGCUCAGUCUCACAAGAGGCUUCCUGCUUCAGGGGACAACUGCGAGUAGUAGGUCUCCAGGUUACCCACACU